ensembl:lncRNA
GCGAGGGAGGAGUGUUGGAGAAGAAGACGGUGGAAGAGCAAGUGGACUGGGGGAAAGUGCCCUGGUGGAAGAGAUGAGGGGUAUGGUGGAGGAGCUGGCGGGGGGAGGGUGGUAUCUCUCCACUGCCGCCAUCACCAAAGAAGAGAAUGAAGAGGAGGGUGCGAUUGGCCGACAGUGAGAGGGAGGGGAUGGCCAAGAGAGUGAUGGGGGUGGGAGAAACCUCUGGGUUGCUGCUGGUUUCCCCAGGCCCUCAACUUCUGUUGGGUGGGGACACACAUAACAAGACUCAAGACUGGGUACAGGAGGAGGUGGGGAGUUUUUUGUUUGGGGACUCAGCCUCCCCGAUUUUUUUCCAAACCAGCUGCAGCACUGGGGAGGGGGAGGAGUGUGGGGAUAGACCCAGGGUGCAGGGCACCCCGGAGCCAAACACUAUUCCUGCAUCCUGGGUUGAUGAGAUGGAGGAAGAGGGGGGGAUGUCGGGAGUACAGAUGGUGUUCUCACCGGUAGAUAUGGAGCAGGGGAGCAUCGGGUGAGUCUCCUGUUUUUGUUUUUUUUUCUGUCUGGGUUUAGAAUUUGAGUGUAUUACAUGAUUUUAUUUUAUUUUUUCAUGGCAUCUAAUUUUACUUUUGUUAGUUUAAAUGUAAGGGGUUUAAGGGAUUUUGUUAAGAGGAGGGCGGUUUUUAGUUAUUUGGAGGUUGUGGGGUUUGAUUUUUGUUUUUUACAGGAGGUUCACCUGAGGGAUGGAGGGGAUGUUAGUAAGUUUAAGAGGGAGUGGGACAAGGGGGAGUCGGUUUGGGGUAUUGGGGGGGAUGUUAGUAAGUUUAAGAGGGAGUGGGACAAGGGGGAGUCGGUUUGGGGUAUUGGGGGGGUGCACUCAUCGGGGGUAGGGAUUUUGUGUGGGCACAGGGAGGUAAAAGUGGAGGAUUCUUUUGUGGUAAUGCAGGGGAGGGUUAUAGGGGUGGAUGUCACAAUAAGGGAUUGUAAAUUUAGAUUAGUGGUGGUGUAUGGGCCACAGGUGGUGGCAGACAGGAGGGAGAUGGUGGACUGUCUGACGCCCCUGUGUGUCACAAAUAGGAAAUUAGUGAUAGGGGGGGAUUUUAAUACAGAUUUAGGAAUAGGGGGAUAGCAGUGCAGGCGCCAUUACCAGGCUAAUGGCUUGCCAUGGUCUGGUUGAUGGUG